AUUCCUACGGGAGGCAGCAGGGGGGAAUAUUGGACAAUGGGCCACAAGCCUGAUCCAGCAAUUCUGUGUGCACGAUGAAGGUCUUCGGAUUGUAAAGUGCUUUCAGUUGGGAAGAAGAAAGUGACGGUACCAACAGAAGAAGCGACGGCUAAAUACGUGCCAGCAGCCACGGUAAU
rnacentral:rRNA from 1 species